AUGAGACCAACAUUUAGCAAGGCAGGAAAACAUUCAGUCUACCUGAAGAAAGACGUAUUUCAUUAUAAAACAGAAGCUAAAGGAAAUGGGUAUAGAAAAGCAAACAAAAGUGACAUGGAGAAUUCAGGCAAAUGGAUAUGUGUUUUCACAAGUUACACAUUUUUAAGGUAAUUUAUCACAUUAUUAUAAUUUGCAAGAAAUAUUAAGUGUAAUGUUCUUCUCUGUAAUGGAUUUCACAUGAUUACCCUCUCCUUAUGUACACCUAGUUUCAGCGGCAGCAGUGGUGGUCCUUGCUCACUUUGACUCCAGCUGUUUCCUCAGAAGUGUCAACACUGUGGCAGGACAUAUACAGUAUUGUUCAAAAUAAUAGCAGUACAAUGUGACUAACCAGAAUAAUCAAGGUUUUUCGUAUAUUUUUUUAUUGCUACGUGGAAAACAAGUUACCAGUAGGUUCAGUAGAUUCUCAGAAAACAAAUGAGACCCAGCAUUCAUGAUAUGCACACUCUUAAGGCUGUGCAAUUGGGCAAUUUGUUGAAUUAGUUGAAAGGGGUGUGUUCAAAAAAAUAGCAGUGUGGCAUUCAAUCACUGAGGUCAUCAAUUUUGUGAAGAAACAGGUGUGAAUCAGGUGGCCCCUAUUUAAGGAUGAAGCCAACAGUUGUUGAACAU
rnacentral:lncRNA from 1 species